AAGUGCUCAUGACCCAGGAAGUUGGUUCUGCUAAAACCUUCUUGUCCCACAGUUUCCUCGGCAUUGUGCACAUAUGGAGUGGCCUCAAGGGGCCUCCCUCCUUCGAAGACUGAGGUAGAUGAAGGAAUGCUAAGAAAAGGACUCAGUAUUCUACCAUCUUUGAUACAGGAAGCAACUCUGAAGGCUACCAAAAGAGAAAGAAUGAAAGUCAAAUAACCAAGAUGUCAGAUCUGAAAUUUUGUCCUUCAUUUGGAAAAAAGAAACUGAAAUUUGCUGGGACAGUGAAACACACGGACUAUUGUAACAUCCUCAAAGGAAGGAAGUUAAAUGGCAAUUACAUUGGGGAUCUACAGUGAAGACUCUCCCUGCAUCCUGGAUCUGCCUCCUCCACUACAGCGCUCUUGAGAACAGAGACAAUCUUAUAUAUGCAGGUAUUGGCCAGGAAAAGCCCAAGGCGGUCAGGGACAAGUAGAAGAACUAUGGAAAGAGGUGACAGAAGACCAAGGCUUGGAAAAAAUUCCGAGUGCACCGUGCUUGUGACCUCCAUCCUUGAUUUGCCUGCCUGACCCUUGUGAAGGAGUGUGGAUCGACGGAUAGUAUUUCAGGAGCUAUACCUGAAUUUUCCCGUCAAAUUCACCAAACAGCUCUUCAAAAGACUUUCUAUAACCCCCUCCAUUUUUGCAGAUGAGAAAACUGAAAUCUAAGGAAGUGAGAGAAACGGUCAGUAGUAAGGGUUAGAGCCGUAGCAUUGAUUCCUGACUGGGGCUUCCCUCGGGGGUCUACCUAACCUUACUGAUGAUGAAAAUAACAUCUUCCUCCAAGGCACAUGGAAACAUUUAGUGAGGCAGUGAAUCAAAUGGAAGCCUUCAGCACUGGGAGCAGAAUAGCUUCCCUAAGCGCUACCAUAGAUUAGCUGGUGUGCCCUUACAACCACUGCUCUGCCCUCUUCCAAAAGUUAAGCUGUGAAAUGGCAAGGCCAGUGCCCUUGGAUGUUCUGCCUCUAAAGUAGGGGAGGGAAGUGACCACAUAUUGGAGGCUCCCUGCUCAUGUGGCCCUGGAUUUUCUUGUCUCCUCCUCUUCCUCCUUCUUCUUUCUCUUCCUCUUUUCUUUCUCCUCUUCUUCUCUCUAUACCCCUUUGUAUUUUUCCUCUUCCUCCCUCCUCCCUUCUCUCCUCCUCUCCCCCUCUCCCCCUCCUCCUUUUAGUCCCACUUUCUCUUUCUUUUUCCCCUCUUCUCUCCUGUUUAUCAUAUUUCUUGUGGCAGGGUCUCACCCUGUAGUCCAAGCUGGGCUGAAACUCACCUCCAAGUUGUUGCAAUCCAACUUCCUCAGUCUCCCAAGUGCUGAGGUCACAGGCAUAAGCUACCAUGUCUGACUAGACAGUUCCUAUCAUGCCUUGCUGAGUAACUUGUUAGUGACUUGACAGCUACCCUGUGGGGCAGUGUCAUUAUCUCCAUAUCAUAGCUGAGAACUCUUGAAUCCUCAUAGUAGAAGUGAGGGUAGAAAAUGGGGUCAACCUGAGACUCAACACCCUAUGUCCCUUGCAUCCUAGAAAAAGGCCUUAGGGCAUCUUGGUAGGAUUCACUAUUUCCAUAAAAGAAUACGAUACCUCUUACCUGUCCCAGUUUUGGUCUAGGUGACACAUUCUUUCCCAUAGUGGGUGACACUAUGAUGGUGGCCUUAUCCAAAGCCUAUAUGUGCCUUUGAAGAAACCCCUAGAAUUUAGCCACUUCCCACCACUGGGCAAGGGCACCCACAAUGUCGCUGAAGUUAGAAUACACAACACUAUAAAGAUGUUGCAAAGUGAUUUAUACUGGAAUAGUAUAUCCUGCUCCAGAGAAUUGAGGUUGACCCUGAAUGUAGGUGGACCACCUUAUGGAGAAAUGACACUGGGUAUUGUCUUCUGGUAUCACACACACAUGCAUGUGUAUCUGCACACAUAAAAAUAUGAAUAUACAUGUACACACACACUUGGCAUAGAAGCUAGCCAGAUCUGGGGGCACUUUUUUAACUAUAUAGUCAUCUCUCUGCAUCUACCUCCACAAUUCAAUGAUGAUCUACAUAUGAUUUAUAUUUUACACUCUCUCAGAACUGCAGCCUUGUUACAGCCUGUGGCAGCCACAGCUAUUAAUAUCUGAGACAGAAAGGAAGAAGGAACCAAGUAAAGAAAAGGGACUCCUAUCUGUUAUCUGAUUUCUUCCAGAUGCUAGAUGUGUGGCCUUGUGGUUGUUUGCAUAUCUGGAAUAUUUUCUCACUGACCUUGUCUGCUCGCCUGCUCCUCUUCCAGCAUGGUGGAUUCUUGAGUGUGUUUCUCUUAUCUUCUGAAAAGCUUCAUGUAGCCUGGGCACUUUGAAAUCAAGCACAGUGAUAAAUCAUCUGUUUUUUAAAAUAA